GACGAACGCUGGCGGCGUGCUUAACACAUGCAAGUCGAACGGAAAGGCCUAGCUUGCUGGGUACUCGAGUGGCGAACGGGUGAGUAACACGUGGGUGAUCUGCCCCUCACUUUGGGAUAAGCCUGGGAAACUGGGUCUAAUACCGGAUAUUCAUUUUUCCUCGCAUGGGGAUUUGUGGAAAGCUUUUGCGGUUGGGGAUGGGCCCGCGGCCUAUCAGCUUGUUGGUGGGGUAAUGGCCUACCAAGGCGACGACGGGUAGCCGACCUGAGAGGGUGAUCGGCCACACUGGGACUGAGACACGGCCCAGACUCCUACGGGAGGCAGCAGUGGGGAAUAUUGCACAAUGGGCGCAAGCCUGAUGCAGCGACGCCGCGUGAGGGAUGACGGCCUUCGGGUUGUAAACCUCUUUCAGCUCCGACGAAGCGCAAGUGACGGUAGGAGCAGAAGAAGCACCGGCCAACUACGUG
rnacentral:rRNA from 1 species